rnacentral:rRNA from 1 species
GACGAACGCUGGCGGCGUGCCUAAUACAUGCAAGUCGAGCGGACAGAUGGGUGCUUGCUCCCUGAUGUUAGCGGCGGACGGGUGAGUAACACGUGGGUAACCUGCCUGUAAGACUGGGAUAACUCCGGGAAACCGGGGCUAAUACCGGAUGGUUGUCUGAACCGCAUGGUUCAGACAUAAAAGGUGGCUUCGGCUACCACUUACAGAUGGACCCGCGGCGCAUUAGCUAGUUGGUGAGGUAACGGCUCACCAAGGCGACGAUGCGUAGCCGACCUGAGAGGGUGAUCGGCCACACUGGGACUGAGACACGGCCCAGACUCCUACGGGAGGCAGCAGUAGGGAAUCUUCCGCAAUGGACGAAAGUCUGACGGAGCAACGCCGCGUGAGUGAUGAAGGUUUUCGGAUCGUAAAGCUCUGUUGUUAGGGAAGAACAAGUGCCGUUCAAAUAGGGCGGCACCUUGACGGUACCUAACCAGAAAGCCACGGCUAACUACGUGCCAGCAGCCGCGGUAAUACGUAGGUGGCAAGCGUUGUCCGGAAUUAUUGGGCGUAAAGGGCUCGCAGGCGGUUUCUUAAGUCUGAUGUGAAAGCCCCCGGCUCAACCGGGGAGGGUCAUUGGAAACUGGGGA